UUUGCCCGGCCAGCGGCGGCGAGCGCGAGCUUGCACGCCGCAGCCACCCAUGGCUGCCUGCGGCCGGCGAAGCAAGCUCCUACCGGGACGACCGUCCUCUGCUCCGGCCAGGACCUCCUGCGGAAACUAGCUGCUGUUCAUACCCUAGCCCGGCGAGAGCGAUUUCCCCGGUGUGCUUCGACGCCGCCGUCAGACAUGCCGGUCGGCGCCGUCGCACUUGCGCAGCUGCUGCUCAGGUUCGCCGCCGGGUAAUUCCACCACUCCUCUGCUCAGAGCAGGCGCUCCUGCGGAAGCCAUCUGCCAUGGCCAUGUUGCAGGGUUCUCUUGUGGUUGUGAGAGUGACUAGAACACCACGCACUCGAAAAUAAUGGCAGAGAUCGGGAUACAUCGCUGAGAUGACAGGAUAAGGUGUGGCCUGGUAUAAUGGACAACGAAGGUAGGCAUCAUCUGGUAGAUUUGUGGAAAUGAGUUUCUGAAGAGGGCAUGGAGACAAGGAGUGUACGAGUGGGAUGAUGAUGAGGGUAGCACGGCU